UGGGGAAUAUUGCACAAUGGGCGCAAGCCUGAUGCAGCCAUGCCGCGUGUGUGAAGAAGGCCUUCGGGUUGUAAAGCACUUUCAGCGAGGAGGAAGGUGGUGAACUUAAUACGUUCAUCAAUUGACGUUACUCGCAGAAGAAGCACCGGCUAACUCCGUGCCAGCAGCCGCGGUAAUACGGAGGGUGCAAGCGUUAAUCGGAAUUACUGGGCGUAAAGCGCACGCAGGCGGUUUGUUAAGUCAGAUGUGAAAUCCCCGGGCUCAACCUGGGAACUGCAUUUGAAACUGGCAAGCUAGAGUCUCGUAGAGGGGGGUAGAAUUCCAGGUGUAGCGGUGAAAUGCGUAGAGAUCUGGAGGAAUACCGGUGGCGAAGGCGGCCCCCUGGACGAAGACUGACGCUCAGGUGCGAAAGCGUGGGGAGCAAAACAGGAUUAGAUACCCUGGUAGUCCACGCUGUAAACGAUGUCGAUUUUGGAGGUUGUGCCCUUGAGGCGUGGCUUCCGGAGCUAACGCGUUAAAUCGACCGCCUGGGGAGUACGGCCGCAAGGUUAAAACUUAAAUGAAUU
rnacentral:rRNA from 1 species